AACAUAAAACACAGAGAGAGAGAGAGAGAGAGAGAGAGAGAGAGAGAGACCAAAGAGAGAGAGAGAGAGAGAGAGAGAGAGAGAGAAUCCAAAACCAGUUGCCUGAAAUCACCGCAAAAGACCCAACACUAUU